rnacentral:rRNA from 1 species
GCGAACGGGUGAGUAAACGUGAGUAACCUGCCCUUGACUCUGGGAUAAGCCUGGGAAACUGGGUCUAAUACCGGAUACGACCAUUGCCCGCAUGGGUUGGUGGUGGAAAGCUUUUGUGGUUUUGGAUGGACUCGCGGCCUAUCAGCUUGUUGGUGAGGUAAUGGCUCACCAAGGCAACUACAGGUAGCCGGCCUGAAAGAGGUGACCGGCCACACUGGGACUGAGACACGGCCCACACUCCUACGGGAGGCAUCAGUGGGGAAUAUUGCACAAUGGGCGAAAGCCUGAUGCAUCGACGCCGCGUGAGGAAUGACGGCCUUCUGGUUGUAAACCUCUUUCAGUACGGAACAAGCUAAUGUGACGGUACCUGCAGAAGAAGCGCCGGCUAACUACGUGCCAGCAGCCGCGGUAAUACGUAGGGCGCAAGCGUUAUCCGGAAUUAUUGGGCGUAAAGAGCUCGUAGGCGGUUUGUCGCGUCUGCUGUGAAAGGCCAGGGCUCAACCCUGGUUCUGCAGUGGGUACGGGCAGACUUGAGUGAUGUAUGGGAGACUGGAAUUCCUGGUGUAGCGGUGAAAUGCGCAGAUAUCAGGAUGAACACCUAUGGCGAAGGCAGGUCUCUGGGCAUUAACUGACGCUGACGAGCGAAAGC